GACGUAGGGCGCGAGCGUUGUCCGGAUUUAUUGGGCGUAAAGAGCUCGUAGGCGGCUUGUCGCGUCGAAUGUGAAAUCUCGGGGCUCAACUCCGAGCUUGCAUUCGAUACGGGCAGGCUAGAGUUCGGUAGGGGAGACUGGAAUUCCUGGUGUAGCGGUGAAAUGCGCAGAUAUCAGGAGGAACACCGGUGGCGAAGGCGGGUCUCUGGGCCGAUACUGCCGCUGAGGAGCGAAAGCGUGGGGAGCGAACAGG
rnacentral:rRNA from 1 species